CUGGUCUCACAAGGGUGCUAAGGGAGGCACUCUGGUUCCUUUUCUUUCCCUGAUUGAUGGAGCAGAUUCUGCAGCAGCCUGUGGGUAUAAAUAAGAGCCCGAGACUGUUAAAAAUAAUGUUUUAACCAAAUCUCAAACGGGAACGCGGAGGCACAGAAGGUUAAGGACGCGGUGUGAUGCAGAGCUUGUCAGCAGCAGCAAAUGUCAGUGUCUAGUCCUGGAGAGCAGCCCGCCACAGAGGCCAGGUUUAUGGCUGGUGUGAAGGCAGCCCACGGUGUGGUCGGCUGGGUGUCCCUGCAAGGAGUAGGGAGGUCGUUGACUCUGCUCAGCGUCUUCAGUGAGGAUUUGAAGUUAUUUCUGUGGGCAGAAUUCAGUAACAGACUCACCAAUGAUAAGACACUCGCCUUGUGUCAUAGUUAACCUACGGCCACAGUCAGCAUGGGCUACUCAGUUCUCGGGGCCCAGAACAAGAUGAAAACACAGAUCUGGCUCAAAAAUGACUCAGAGGCUCAGGCAGGUAACGUCGGACAAGCAUGGGCUCCUUGUGUGCGCAUGGCCCUGUGGGACCGAACAUGCCACACACCUACGAAGCCAGUCCUGGGUGUUUUGCCUGAGUGUAUGUCUGUGUACCGUGUGUGUACAGUGCCCAAGGAGGC